rnacentral:rRNA from 1 species
GACUACGGCCAUGCCACCCUGAGCAAGCCUGAUACUGUCUGAUCUCGGAAGCUAAGCAGGAUCAGGCAUGGUUAGUACUUGGAUGGGAGACCACCUAGGAAGACCAGGUGCUGCAGGUA